rnacentral:rRNA from 1 species
AACGAGCGCCAACCCUUGCCUUUAGUUGCCAGCAGUUCGGACUGGGCGACUCUAAAGGGACUGCCGGUGUUAAACCGGAGGAAGGUGGGGAUGACGUCAAGUCCUCAUGGCCUUUAUGACCAGGGCUACACACGUACUACAAUGGCCGAUACAAAGGGCAGCGACACUGCGAGGUGAAGCCAAUCCCGUAAAAUCGGUCUCAGUCCGGAUUGGAGUCUGCAACUCGACUCCAUGAAGUUGGAAUCGCUAGUAAUCGUGGAUCCAGCCAUGCCAACGGUGAAUACGUUCCGGGCCUU